rnacentral:rRNA from 1 species
UACGGGGGGAGCAAGGCGUUGUUCGGAUUUACUGGGCGUAAAGGGCGCGUAGGCGGUCGUGACAAGUCACUUGUGAAAUCUCCGGGCUUAACUCGGAACGGUCAAGUGAUACUGUCGUGCUAGAGUACAGAAGGGGCAACUGGAAUUCUCGGUGGUAGCGGUGAAAUGCGUAGAUAUCGAGAGGAACACCUGCGGCGAAGGCGGGUUGCUGGGCUGAUACUGACGCUGGAGGCGCGAAAGCUAGGGGAGCGAACGGG